UACGAAGGGGGCUAGCGUUGCUCGGAAUUACUGGGCGUAAAGGGCGCGUAGGCGGCACUGUUAGUCAGGCGUGAAAGUCCUGGGCUCAACCUGGGAACUGCGCUUGAUACGGCAGAGCUAGAGGAUGGAAGAGGCUCGCGGAAUUCCCAGUGUAGAGGUGAAAUUCGUAGAUAUUGGGAAGAACACCGGUGGCGAAGGCGGCGAGCUGGUCCAUUACUGACGCUGAGGAGCGAAAGCGUGGGGAGCGAACAGG
rnacentral:rRNA from 1 species